rnacentral:rRNA from 1 species
UAGGGAAUUUUGCACAAUGGGCGCAAGCCUGAUGCAGCAAUGCCGCGUGAGUGAAGAAGGCUCUUGGGUUGUAAAGCUCUUUCGGCCGGGAAGAAGGGACUAUCUGCGAACAGUUGGUAGUUUUGACGGUACCGGAAGAAGAAGCACCGGCUAACUACGUGCCAGCAGCCGCGGCAAUACGUAGGGUGCGAGCGUUAAUCGGAAUUACUGGGCGUAAAGUGUGCGCAGGUGGCCGCGCAAGUCGAGUGUGAAAUCCCCGAGCUUAACUUGGGAAUUGCGCUCGAAACUACGUGGCUCGAGUAUGGCAGAGGAAGGUGGAAUUCCACGUGUAGCGGUGAAAUGCGUAGAGAUGUGGAGGAACACCGAUGGCGAAGGCAGCCUUUCUUGGGCCAAUUACUGACGCUCAUGCACGAAAAGCGUGGGGAGCAAAACA